CAAACAGGCCAACCCCAGAGCUGGAACGGGGACAAGGAAGGGGCCUACUUGGGGGAUAGCUGAAGGGGUGCCAGACGUUCUAGCUAUUAUUCUUUGAUUUCAAUUAUGGAAGAUGAGGAUUAAGUUUUCCUAUACCAAUUCUCUUCUGAUCAAAUACAUGCACGUGCACUUCCUCUUUCUCAGUAUAUCCAAAACAUAACAGCUCCUGGGUUAUAACUGUGGGUGGUGUGCCCUCAGCCCUCUCCUAGUGAUGCCCACAUCCCAGGCCUGGAGCUGAACCUGUGAUCUUGUGAUUGGUUUUCUCUGUUUGUCAGGUGGGCCACCCAGCAGGGGGUAGCCCACCCUGUGGGCUGUGGGCACUGUCUGCUUCCUGUGUACAUGUCGGGCCUGCAGUGAUUUGAAGACCAUCCUCCCAGUCAGGGUUUGAGGAAUUUGGAGCAGAAGGGCCGUAGCAAGCACCCCUUUCCA